rnacentral:rRNA from 1 species
UACGAAGGGGGCUAGCGUUGCUCGGAAUCACUGGGCGUAAAGCGCACGUAGGCGGCUUCUUAAGUCAGGGGUGAAAUCCUGGAGCUCAACUCCAGAACUGCCUUUGAUACUGAGGAGCUUGAGUCCGGGAGAGGUGAGUGGAACUGCGAGUGUAGAGGUGAAAUUCGUAGAUAUUCGCAAGAACACCAGUGGCGAAGGCGGCUCACUGGCCCGGUACUGACGCUGAGGCGCGAAAGCUAGGGGAGCGAACGGG